UACAGAGGGGGCAAGCGUUGUUCGGAAUUACUGGGCGUAAAGGGCGCGUAGGCGGCCUGCUAAGUCGAACGUGAAAUCCCCGAGCUCAACUCGGGAACUGCGUCCGAUACUGGCAGGCUUGAAUCCGGGAGAGGGAUGCGGAAUUCCAGGUGUAGCGGUGAAAUUCGUAGAUAUCAGGAGGAGCACCAGUGGCGAAGGCGGCUUCCUGGACACCAACUGACGCUGAGACGCGAAAGCGUGGGGAGCAAACAGG
rnacentral:rRNA from 1 species